rnacentral:rRNA from 1 species
GGGAUACCACUUGGAAACAGGUGCUAAUACCGGAUAACAACAAUAGCUGCAUGGCUAUUGCUUAAAAGGCGGCGAAAGCUGUCGCUAAAGGAUGGACCCACGGUGCAUUAGCUAGUUGGUAAGGUAAUGGCUUACCAAGGCGACGAUGCAUAGCCGAGUUGAGAGACUGAUCGGCCACAUUGGGACUGAGACACGGCCCAAACUCCUACGGGAGGCAGCAGUAGGGAAUCUUCCACAAUGGGCGAAAGCCUGAUGGAGCAACGCCGCGUGAGUGAAGAAGGUUUUCGGAUCGUAAAGCUCUGUUGUUGGUGAAGAAGGAUAGAGGUAGUAACUGGCCCCUAUUUGACGGUAAUCAACCAGAAAGUCACGGCUAACUACGUGCCAGCAGCCGCGGUAAUACGUAGGUGGCAAGCGUUGUCCGGAUUUAUUGGGCGUAAAGCGAGCGCAGGCGGAAAGAUAAGUCUGAUGUGAAAGCCCCCGGCUUAACCGAGGAAUUGCAUCGGAAACUGUGUUUCUUGAGUGCAGAAGAGGAGAGUGGAACUCCAUGUGUAGCGGUGGAAUGCGUAGAUAUAUGGAAGAACACCAGUGGCGAAGGCGGCUCUCUGGUCUGUAACUGACGCUGAGGCUCGAAAGCAUGGGUAGCGAACAGGAUUAGAUACCCUGGUAGUCCAUGCCGUAAACGAUGCGUGAUAGGUGUUGGGA